AGUGAACGCUGGCGGUAGGCCUAACACAUGCAAGUCGAACGGCAGCACAGUAAGAGCUUGCUCUUACGGGUGGCGAGUGGCGGACGGGUGAGGAAUACAUCGGAAUCUACCUUUUCGUGGGGGUUAACGUAGGGAAACUUACGCUAAUACCGCAUACGACCUACGGGUGAAAGCAGGGGAUCUUCGGACCUUGCGCGGUUGAAUGAGCCGAUGUCGGAUUAGCUAGUUGGCGGGGUAAAGGCCCACCAAGGCGACGAUCCGUAGCUGGUCUGAGAGGAUGAUCAGCGACACUGGAACUGAGACACGGUCCAGACUCCUACGGGAGGCAGCAGUGGGGAAUAGUGGACAAUGGGCGCAAGCCUGAUCCAGCCAUACCGCGUGGGUGAAGAAGGCCUUCGGGUUGUAAAGACCUUUUGUUGGGAAAGAAAAGCAGCAGGUUAAUACCCCGCUGUUCUGACGGUACCCAAAGAAUAAGCACCGGCUAACUUCGUG
rnacentral:rRNA from 1 species